AGCGGAGUAGAGCAGUUUGGUAGCUCACGAGGCUCAUAACCUUGAGG
rnacentral:tRNA from 1 species